rnacentral:rRNA from 1 species
UGGGGAAUAUUGGGGCAAUGGGCGAAAGCCUGACCCAGCAACGCCGCGUGAAGGAAGAAGGUCUUCGGAUUGUAAACUUCUUUUAUCAGGGACGAAGGAAGUGACGGUACCUGACUAAGAAGCCCCGGCUAACUACGUGCCAGCAGCCGCGGUAAUACGUAGGGGGCAAGCGUUAUCCGGAUUUACUGGGUGUAAAGGGAGCGUAGACGGAACGGCAAGUUUGAAGUGAAAUACCCGGGCUUAACUCGGGAACUGCUUUGAAAACUGUCGAUCUAGAGUGUCGGAGAGGUAAGUGGAAUUCCUGGUGUAGUAGUGAAAUGCGUAGAUAUCAGGAAGAACACCGGAGGCGAAGGCGGCUUACUGGACGAUAACUGACGUUGAGGCUCGAAAGCGUGGGGAGCAAACAGGAUUAGAUACCCUGGUAGU